rnacentral:rRNA from 1 species
UGAGUAACGCGUAUCCAACCUCCCUAUAGUAGAGGAUAGACCCGGCGAAAGUCGGAUUAAUACUCUAUGUUUUCCGUUGCAGACACCUAAGAUGGAACAAAGGCUUGCCGCUAUAGGAUGGGGAUGCGUCUGAUUAGGUAGUCGGCGGGGUAACGGCCCACCGAGCCAUCGAUCAGUAGGGGUUCUGAGAGGAAGGUCCCCCCACAUUGGAACUGAGACACGGUCCAAACUCCUACGGGAGGCAGCAGUGAGGAAUAUUGGUCAAUGGGCGAGAGCCUGAACCAGCCAAGUAGCGUGCCAGGAUGACGGCCCUAUGGGUUGUAAACUGCUUUUAUGCGGGGAUAAAGUUCACUACGUGUAGUGUUUUGUAGGUACCGCAUGAAUAAGGACCGGCUAAUUCCGUGCCAGCAGCCGC